AUCUCCGACUUGUGUCAAGAAACGGGAAGUUCUGGGCCCAGAUCCCCAUAAGUCAGCGAUGACAGGGGCCGAGCAGGGGCUGCCCGUUAGACGGCCGCAGAGUCCCAGCCCCCAGCCCUGCUCACCUUUCUUACCUCUCUGGCCCCGUCGGCAUUUGAGCCUGGGACCCCAGACGAAAGGAUACGCUUCCUUUUAGAACUUCUGCCAAUCUGAGGACGGGGCCACCCCACAGACGCCGUGGCUCAGCAAGCAGACCAAUGGCCAAGGAGUCUGGCAAGGGGCGCUUGAUGAGAGUGGAGGCUGUAAAUCACCCUCUAUGCAAUGGCUUAUCAUAAAGGAUAUGGAGCAAAAUUAGAGGAGGCACGAGAAGGAAAGCUGGUGAUGAACAAGGAAAGUGCCUGGUUGAAGCUAGCUUGCAAUCCCAAAGUCAGAAGGUUGCCUGGGAAGCCAGGAAACAAAGCCAAAUCAAGGCAAAGCAGACACAUGGAGAUUUUGAGACUGAGAAGAGGGAAACUGAGGACAUUCAUGUGAGAUGGGGUUCAAGUUUCCCUUA
rnacentral:lncRNA from 1 species